AAAACCACUGAAAUUUAAAUAAGUGAGGCUCAACAUCAUAAGCAUAACUGACUUCUCUACAAUGUGAACAUGGGAUAUUGUCCUAGGCAAGAUCAAGUUAAGUGUUCUGUCAAACCCAAAGCAGUGAAGCUUAACUUCUAAAUAAGUUUUCAUAUAAGAUUAAUAGGCAUUAUUUUCCAGUGCACAUUGAGUUUACAUCACCUUCAUACAGCAAUGCAUAAAAAGAAGUACCAAAAUCAGUAUGAAGUUCUAGAAGUUUUGUGCCUUAACACAGAUUUCUGAUAACAUGCUGAAGCAGUUCAUUAUCAGAAUCAUGCAAAAACAAAAAC